UACGAAGGGUGCAAGCGUUACUCGGAAUUACUGGGCGUAAAGCGUGCGUAGGUGGUUUGUUAAGUCUGUUGUGAAAGCCCCGGGCUCAACCUGGGAAUGGCAAUGGAUACUGGCAGGCUAGAGUGCGGUAGAGGGUAGUGGAAUUCCCGGUGUAGCGGUGAAAUGCGUAGAGAUCGGAAGAACACCAACGGCGAAAGCACUCUGCUGGGCCGACACUGACACUGAGAGACGAAAGCUAGGGGAGCGAAUGGG
rnacentral:rRNA from 1 species